GAUUAGCAUUUCUGAGAAAUGACUACCAGCAAUUUAGUUAAACUUUUCACUUUUCUGUCUUUUGUGAAGACUGGCCGCAUGACCUCUGGGUGGUUCCCUGGCUGGUCAUUUAUUAAAUGCUACUAGGGAAGGAAGAAAACUGCUAAAAAAAUAAUAAUAGUAACCACAAAAAGGUAUGGAAAGGAUAGCUCUCCGGGAAGCUGUAUGUGAGGUCCAUGUAGAUAUAUCUCUUCUUCCUCUAACAGCAAGUCAGUAACCAUCUUCAGUGGCUCUGUGGAAAAUGGCAUUUCUUUUUCCUGAUGAGACUCUGACUUGAAAAAGGCUACAUUCCUAUAGUUUACCAGGACCUGGUCAUCUUAAAAAAAAAAAAA